rnacentral:snRNA from 1 species
GAAAGUUUUUAAUAUUCAAGG